UGAUGCCAUACUUCCAGGAAAAGCCUCUAAGCUUCAGAUUAUACCGAAUCGUACCCCAAACCGACACAGGUGGUCAGGUAGAGAAUACUAAGGCGCUUGAGAGAACUCGGGUGAAGGAACUAGGCAAAAUCGUACCGUAACUUCGGGAGAAGGUACGCUCCGAUUGGUGAUGAGACUUGCUCUCUAAGCUGAUUGGAGCCGCAGUGACCAGGUGGCUGGGACUGUUUAUUAAAAACACAGCACUGUGCAAAAUCGCAAGAUGACGUAUACGGUGUGACACCUGCCCGGUGCCGGAAGGUUAAUUGAUGGGGUUAUCUUCGGAGAAGCUCUUGAUCGAAGCCCCGGUAAACGGCGGCCGUAACUAUAACGGUCCUAAGGUAGCGAAAUUCCUUGUCGGGUAAGUUCCGACCUGCACGAAUGGUGUAACCAUGGCCACGCUGUCUCCACCCGAGACUCAGUGAAAUUGAAAUCGCAGUGAAGAUGCUGUGUACCCGCGGCUAGACGGAAAGACCCCGUGAACCUUUACUACAGCUUGGCACUGAACAUUGAACCUACAUGUGUAGGAUAGGUGGGAGACUUAGAAGCAGAGACGCUAGUUUUUGUGGAGUCGUCCUUGAAAUACCACCCUUGUAGUUUUGAUGUUCUAACGUUGGCCCCUGAAUCGGGGUUACGGACAGUGCCUGGUGGGUAGUUUGACUGGGGCGGUCUCCUCCCAAAGAGUAACGGAGGAGCACGAAGGUUGGCUAAGUACGGUCGGACAUCGUACGGUUAGUGUAAUGGUAGAAGCCAGCUUAACUGCGAGACAGACACGUCGAGCAGGUACGAAAGUAGGUCAUAGUGAUCCGGUGGUUCUGAAUGGAAGGGCCAUCGCUCAACGGAUAAAAGGUACUCCGGGGAUAACAGGCUGAUACCGCCCAAGAGUUCAUAUCGACGGCGGUGUUUGGCACCUCGAUGUCGGCUCAUCACAUCCUGGGGCUGAAGUCGGUCCCAAGGGUAUGGCUGUUCGCCAUUUAAAGUGGUACGCGAGCUGGGUUUAGAACGUCGUGAGACAGUUCGGUCCCUAUCUGCCGUGGGCGUUUGAGAAUUGAGAGGGGUUGCUCCUAGUACGAGAGGACCGGAGUGAACGAACCGCUGGUGUUCGGGUUGUCAUGCCAAUGGCAUUGCCCGGUAGCUACGUUCGGAACUGAUAAGCGCUGAAAGCAUCUAAGCGCGAAGCAGGCCUCGAGAUGA
rnacentral:rRNA from 1 species